rnacentral:rRNA from 1 species
UACGUAGGGUGCGAGCGUUAAUCGGAAUUACUGGGCGUAAAGCGUGCGCAGGCGGUUCGUUGUGUCGGUGGUGAAAGCCCCGGGCUUAACCUGGAAACUGCCAUGGAUACUAUAGGUCUUGAAUACUGUGGAGGUCAGCGGAAUAUGUCAUGUAGCGGUGAAAUGCUUAGAUAUGACAUAGAACACCAAUUGCGAAGGCAGCUGGCUACACAAAUAUUGACACUGAGGCACGAAAGCGUGGGGAUCAAACAGG